GCUUAUUUAGUUUAAUUUUAAAAUUUUGGUUUGUGAUACCAGAGAUCUUUUUGGGGAUAGGCU
rnacentral:tRNA from 1 species